rnacentral:rRNA from 1 species
AUUGAACGCUGGCGGCAGGCCUAACACAUGCAAGUCGAGCGAGCGGCGGACGGGUGAGUAAUGUCUGGGAAACUGCCUGAUGGAGGGGGAUAACUACUGGAAACGGUAGCUAAUCCCGCAUACCAUCAGAUGUGCCCAGAUGGGAUUAGCUGGUCGGUGGGGUAACGGCUCACCUAGGCGACGAUCCCUAGCUGGUCUGAGAGGAUGACCAGCCACACUGGACCUGAGACACGGUCCAGACUCCUACGUGAGGCAUCAGUGGGGAAUAUUGCACAAUGGGCGCAAGCCUGAUGCAGCCAUGCCGCGUGUGUGAAGAAGGCCUUCGGGUUGUAAAGUACUUUCAUCGGGGAGGCGUUACCCGCAGAAGAAGCACCGGCUAACUCCGUGCCAGCCGCCGCGGUAAUAC